CCUCACUCUCAAAAUGGCUAAACAAUUCUCAACUCUCUCGAUCCUUCUUCUUUGCCUCUUCUUUGCUUCUCAGGAGAUAAUAGUGACUGAAGCAGCUCAAUGCUCAGCAAAAAGCUAUUUGUUUGAGGGGAAUUGCUCAAGCUCUAACGCUGACUACUGCAAUUCAGUUUGUAAGAAAGAGGGCUUCUUAGCUGGUGCAUGCAAAAGCUCCAUAUGUAUCUGCCAAAAAAAUUGCUAAGAGCGGCGGCGGAAACUUAUACUAAUAAUGUUGCAUUUUGUUAGAAUUGUAACUGUGAUAAGAGGUUAAUAAUGUUGUACUCCCUCCGUUUCUUCAUAGUUGAAUCAUUUUUCUAUUUCGGGAAGUUUCUUCAUAGUUGAGUCAUUUCUAUAUAUGGUAACUUUUUUCUCUUUCUUACUUUA